UCUCUGAAUUUUGAGUAGGUCUCACCUAAGAAUGUCUCUCUACGUUUCUACUAGCUGGGCGGAAGUUGGCUGUAAGAAACACCUUGGAAAUGCCAUUUCUGACCUUUAUUCCUCUUCCGGAAAUUUCGAGUUGGAGUCUAGGUUGGGCUGGCCUGAGUGGGGAAGUAGACACCCCUAAGCGGUUCAAGCAAUCUCUGCACCCAAUGUGAGGCUUGAACUCAGGACCUGGAGAUCAAGAGUCACAAGCUGUACUGACUGAGCCAGCUAGGCCCCCUAGUUCUCCUAUAUUUCCUGUUCCCUCCUGUCUCAGGGCCAGCCAGGUGCCCCAUGAAGUCUUGAAGAACUAAGAAACUCUGUGUUUCCAGAGGAGUUGGAAGG